AUGUUGUAUGAAAGGAGAGAAGGUUAACAUUCCCCUUGAUAAGGGUGGAAGAGGCCCCCAUGGCCUGUACAACAUGCAUAUGGCACUGCCACCUACUUAUGGCAUCUUACUAUGACCUUAA
rnacentral:ncRNA from 1 species